rnacentral:misc_RNA from 1 species
GAUGAAGAACGCAGCGAAAUGCGAUAAGUAGUGUGAAUUGCAGAAUUCAGUGAAUCAUCGAAUCUUUGAACGCACAUUGCGCCCCUUGGUAUCCCGAGGGGCAUGCCUGUUCGAGCGUCAUUUCACCACUCAAGCCUGGCUUGGUGUUGGGCGACGUCCCCUUUAGGGACGCGCCUCGAAACGCUCGGCGGCGCGGCACCGGCUUUAAGCGUAGCAGAAUCUUUCGCUUUGGAAGUCGGGGCCCCGCCUGCCGGAAUACCCACUUGUAAGGUUGACCUCGGAUCAGGCAGGGAUACCCGCUGAACUUAAGAAUAUCAAUAAGCGGAGGA